AACGAACGCUGGCGGCGCGCCUAACACAUGCAAGUCGGACGCACUCAGCAAUGGGUGAGUCGCGGACGGGUGAGUAACACGUGGCCAACCUGCCUCAUAGAGGGGAAUAGCCUUCCGAAAGGGAGAUUAAUACCGCAUAAGAUUGUAGUACCGCAUGGUACAGCAAUUAAAGGAGCAAUCCGCGAUGAGAUGGGCCCGCGGCGCAUUAGCUAGUUGGUGAGGUAAAGGCUCACCAAGGCGACGAUGCGUAGCCGACCUGAGAGGGUGAUCGGCCACAUUGGGACUGAGACACGGCCCAGACUCCUACGGGAGGCAGCAGUGGGGAAUAUUGCACAAUGGGGGAAACCCUGAUGCAGCAACGCCGCGUGAGUGAUGACGGCCUUCGGGUUGUAAAGCUCUGUCUUCAGGGACGAUAAUGACGGUACCUGAGGAGGAAGCCACGGCUAACUACGUGCCAGCCGCCGCCGUAAAAC
rnacentral:rRNA from 1 species